rnacentral:rRNA from 1 species
UACGUAGGGUGCAAGCGUUGUCCGGAAUUAUUGGGCGUAAAGAGCUCGUAGGCGGUGUGUCGCGUCGGCCGUGAAAACCUGGGGCUCAACUCUGGGCGUGCGGUCGAUACGGGCAUCACUUGAGUUCGGCAGGGGAGACUGGAAUUCCUGGUGUAGCGGCGAAAUGCGCAGAUAUCAGGAGGAACACCGGUGGCGAAGGCGGGUCUCUGGGCCGUAACUGACGCUGAGGAGCGAAAGCGUGGGGAGCGAACAGG